AGUGAACGCUGGCGGUAGGCCUAACACAUGCAAGUCGAACGGCAGCACAGUAAGAGCUUGCUCUUACGGGUGGCGAGUGGCGGACGGGUGAGGAGUACAUCGGAAUCUACUUUUUCGUGGGGGAUAACGUAGGGAAACUUACGCUAAUACCGCAUACGACCUACGGGUGAAAGCAGGGGAUCUUCGGACCUUGCGCGAUUGAAUGAGCCGAUGUCGGAUCAGCUAGUUGGCGGGGUAAAGGCCCACCAAGGCGACGAUCCGUAGCUGGUCUGAGAGGAUGAUCAGCCACACUGGAACUGAGACACGGUCCAGACUCCUACGGGAGGCAGCAGUGGGGAAUAUUGGACAAUGGGCGCAAGCCUGAUCCAGCCAUACCGCGUGGGUGAAGAAGGCCUUCGGGUUGUAAAGCCCUUUUGUUGGGAAAGAAAAGCAGCAGGUUAAUACCCCGCUGUUCUGACGGUACCCAAAGAAUAAGCACCGGCUAACUUCGUG
rnacentral:rRNA from 1 species